UCUUCGGAGUCUGGGGUGGUUGCGAAGAUCCCGGACGAGCCCCCAUAAUAAAAGAUCCCCAAGGAGAGACCCUUUCUAAAGUCGCGGGAAAUCAUGGACCCCAGACACACAGAGACCA
rnacentral:pre_miRNA from 14 species